rnacentral:miRNA from 1 species
UGUCUUUUUCCGCUUACUGUCG